rnacentral:lncRNA from 1 species
UUCAGGAGGUUGUCACGCUCUGGCAUCAUACGCAUUGAUUGACAUUUGCGUUGGCACAUCUUCUGAUUAUCUCUUUUUUAUGUGUUUCAAGCGUUUCUGCUGCGAAUCUGCAUGGAGUUUAAAUAUCCAGAAUGAAGCCUGUGAACAUCCUGUAAACCUGUUUUCAACAUGCAGCAUGCAUUGCAUAACACUUAAGAUUCAGCUUUGUGUAAUGGUGUACAUGUAAGGAAUUUAAUCAAACUUAAAACUAGUACUUAACAUUGCCAGGAGAGGAUUUUAUUUUGUUAUCAAAAUAUUGUUUUUAAGUAUUUACCGUAAUUUUCCUGUAACCUGGCGAACGUAACUAUUGGUUACGGUUUAUUAAGAGGAUAUCACUUGAUGAUACCCGGGAAAAGCAAUCUCUACUAGGAUGAAAAAGCAGAGUACACCGGGCACAGUGUAAUGAUGCCGACUGGGCUAAUUCCACAUUUUUGAAUCAUCCUUGCUUUGUUGUAACAUUUCCUAUACUGCAGAGUAUAGUUGACAUGUAUUCAAUCACUAUCACAGCCCACGCAUGAAUUUCAACAAUAUGUGUCGUAGUAACCGGCGACAAUAGCCCUCCUCAAUCUUCUUCCAUUCUACUAUUUCACCUCUAUUCCAUUGAUUCGAAGUUCAUUCCAACAGAAACGGUCUUACGUGCGAUAAUUUUUCCAUGCAGCGCAACGGAUCACUCAGAGCCACUUUUUUCAGUCUUGGAACAAGUGAAAUUCAAACCGGACGAGACCUAACGACGAAGCCUAAGAAACGGGAAAAGAGGAAUUAUUUGACAAACUUGCAAACAGGAAUGAUUUUAUUUUUUAUUUCACAUCUUGUAAACUAUCAAAAUCUCACACACCUUAGGGUUUUAUUCUGUUAUAAGUAUACUACAAUUUACACAUUUGAUAUUUUACAAUUGCAUUUUGUGUGUAUAUUGGAGUAGGUCUUUCAUAGUAUAAAACCCCAAGCCAUGAGAUUUAAUCCCUAUCCGUACAAAAAAAAAAUUUAAAAGAUGUGAAAUUUGAAAAUAUUGAUCAUUGUUUGUUAAUGUCUAUGACACGAUUUCUAUCUAUAACUACAACGAACUGCCCCGUAUGGAGAUCGAAGGAAAAUGUUCUAUUACGAAGGCUUCGCGAUCUAGACAGCUUUUUUCUCUGCAUUUGAUCAACCUGAACGUAUAAUCGAGUUUUGGCAAAAUUAAGAAAAAAGUUUUCUAUCUUGGGAGUUAAAACUGGCUGUUAAGGAAGUUAAUUACGAUGACGAAACUUACGUCAUGACAACGGGUAAAUGUGGAAAAGCAAGUCGUCGGCUAAAAGAUUGCCUUGAAAUCUUUAGCUUAUUGAACAUAAGGUGCUGUGUUACAAUUGAACAGCGUGUUAGAGCAACCGAAAAUUUGUGAUCGUUCGGAAGUCAUCUAUUUUAAACGUUCUUACAAAUUGUCGAUACGAGACAAGCUUCACGCAUUCGCUGUAUUUCUUCCUCGCGGAUGAAAUAUGGCCCCUUAUUUAUUUGAUCCAAGACCACUAAUAACGUUGAUGCCUUCAUCGGUGUCUGUAUGAAGGAGUCGUUGGUGGAUACUGUACAAGAUUUUGUAAUCGUAAUCAAUCGGCAGAUGAUAUUGAUGGAGUUCAGGUGUAAACAGAAACUGAAAUUCGUUGGAGGGAGGACCGAAGGUUUCCAGAUUCUUUUAUUUUCCCACAUGUUUUUGGUAUUUUUACAACAAAAAAUUAAGUGCAUAUCUGGGCUCCCUUCUUUUCUGUGGCCCCGUUUCCCCUUGACUUGUAAUAAGCCCGUAGGGGGUCAUGC